rnacentral:lncRNA from 1 species
UGGUUACUGGAGCUAAUGUGGAAAAAAUCCCAGGACUUAACACAUUGGGGGUGUCAUUCUCAAGAAUAGACUACAAAGCUGAGGGACUUAACCCACCUCACACACACCCUCGUGCCACUGAGAUUGUGUUUGUGUUGGAUGGACAACUAGAUGUUGGAUUCAUCACCACAGCCAAUAAACUCAUCUCAAAGUCAAUUAAGAAGGGUGAAAUCUUUGUGUUCCCAAAAGGUUUGGUGCACUAUCAGAAGAACAAUGGGGAUAAGCCUGCUUCUGUGCUUUCUGCCUUCAACAGCCAACUCCCUGGCACAGUGUCUAUAGCUGCAGCUCUUUUCACUUCAACACCAACUGUGCCUGAUGAUGUUCUUGCUCAGGCUUUCCAGAUUGAUACUAAGAAGGUUGAUGACAUCAAGGCCAAGCUUGCUCCUAAGAAGACUUAAUUUUAAGUUGAGCUUAAUCAUAUUCAAGAGAGAGAGCAAGAUUCAGUCUUUUAAGUCUACUUUCCCUAUACUUUUCCCUAUAAUUCUUGAAGGGUUAUGACUCAGUAUCAGUAUCACUUAUGGUGUUACAUUUUCCUCAUUGAUGUGGUAUCGAGUAUUAUAAUAUAAUUGUAUCGCGGAAUUAUGGUACAUGUUAAGAGUAAUCAAAAUUUAAUUCUAUAUACUGUAGAAGCUCUCAACUUUUUUGUGGGUAUAUAUAUUAAUUUCUUGUUUUCGUGGUUCAUUGAUUUUGUAUACACUGAUCAAUAAAGGUUGGACCUUUACCACUUCACUUUCUCUUUCAUGCUGGUUGGUAGUUAAAUCAGUUUGGUAAGAUGCGGACAUCUUAAAGUUGGAGGCACUCAAAAUAUUUUUUGUUGAAAAUUAAUUUCACUUUUCAAUGACCUAUAAUUAAAAAGAAAAAAGAAAAAAAAAAAAGGUAAUGGACUGACUAAAGUGAGUGAUUUAGAUAGAAAAAGAUAUCCAUGCAGAUUAAAUAUCCAUGUGCCGUUUUAUAAAAUUAAAGAAAACCAAAGAGUCCCCUCGAGACAAGAAGACAGCUUAACUUGUUAAGUUGUAAGUUAUGAAUUAUAAGUACACACAAGUUUCAUUUAUAAUUUGCAGUGUGCUCCAUUCCUCUCCUUUCUCAUUGCCGCAGGUUAUAAGUGCACACAUGCAUGCAAUUAAGUUUGAUUGGAUCACUCCAUUGAAAUUGAGUCAGAUUUUAAGCAUAAUGCAUGUGUGUUUUUGUUUGAUUUGAUUUAUUUAGUUGUUCUUUCGAAAUUAAGAAGUACUUAGAAAUGAUGGUCCGAACCAUCCAAUAAUUUCUGAUCCAUAUGUGUAUGUUGUGUAUUUUUGUUUUAUAUCUUUGUGCUAGACAGUACCCUUAGGUAGCAAUGGUGGCACCAGAACCUUCAUAAACCUCUGUCAAGGAAAAACUGAUGAUGAAGCAGCUAGCUAACUGCAUUGUACCAGUAGGUAUGGUAAGGCAUUGAGUGUUGAACGGUAAAAACGUUAGGUUUAAACUUUGGCAUCUCAUUCUCAUGUGAUGCGUUACCGCUAAGAACAUGGAAGAUUCCAAACAACAACAAUAAUAGCAGCAGCAGCAGCAGCUGACCGAAAGAGACGUGUUCCGAUACACGAAUUAAGAUCAACUAGUUCAAUCUGAAAGCAAUAAUGUCAGAGUAACUGUAUAUCAUCAUGGUUUAAAAUAAACUAGAAUAGAAUGAGAUAUGUUUUUCUUUUAUAUUAAACAAACAAAAUGAUAAGGUGAUUAUUGGUAAAUAAUAAAUGAAUUUAAUUUAAAUAAAUUAAGUUUAAACAUUAUUUAUUGGUUUAAUUAUCUUUUCAUUUAUAUAUGAUAAAAUUAAGCUUAUAAGCCUUUAAUAGCUUAUAAAAUGACCGUUAGGAGCUCAAAAACUAGAACCUUAGAAGCUAAAUGAUUAGUUCCUAUAUUUUAUUAUCUUAUUUUGGUUACUUGUAGUUGUAAUUUUUUAUAACUCCUUUUAGUUUACUGUCUAAAGUUUAAUGUCAUUAUAUCGUGAUUCCUUAAAAUUGUUACAAAGUUAAAAUUGUUUUAAUUUAUUUUGGUUUUUUAUAGUCAAUUUUAGUUUUAAAGUGAUCUUAAAAGAUCUAAACGUAAUGACGUUAGACGAUUCUAGACAACAAGAGUCAAAUUACAACUAUAACGACCAAAAUGUAAUAUUUUAAACUACAUAAAUAAAAAAUUAUUACAAUAAGAACCAAAAGGAUAAUUAAAUCUUAUUUAUUAAUCAUAGAUUUUCAUAUUCCCUUUUACAAUAAGUUAACAAUUUUAUCCUAAUUACAGUUACACUAGUAGGAUUUUAAUGGCUUUGAAGAGAAAUCAAACUUACAUCCAUGGAGAGGAUGAGAUUAACUAUGUGAGAAUUAGCUAUGGAUCGUUUCCAAUAUACUUCUUUCGUCUUUAAUUAUAAGACUUUUUUUAAAUUUUUUUUAUAAAACUCUUUUCUAAUUACCAAAUGUAUUAAUUAUUUUUUAUUAUAUAUUUUUACUUAAUUAUUAUUUUCUAAACAUCAAUGAAAAAUAAUUAAGUGGAUAAAAAAAUAAAAAUAAUAAUUUAUAAUAACAUAAAUAGUUGACAUAUUUGAUGUGAUUAACUAAACUAACUAGUUAAAAAAACGAAUUAGUUAAAAAAAUCUUAUCUUCCACUUAAAAGAUAAUAAAUUUUUAUCAUUUCACUAAUUUGGAAAAACCAUUUUUCAUAUGGGCCUAACAGUGAAAGCAAUGGUGGAACUGAACCGGUGCGUGUCGCUUCUAAAGGGCCCUAUGCCCCCAUCAAUUUCCAAAGGUUGUUCAGGUUUGGCAAUUGAGUCUGUUAAUUUCUCUUAAAACUGACUCAAAAGAUAAUAUAAUUAAUUAAAUCCAAAUUGAAUUUGCAAAACUUUAAUUUAGGUCAUACAGUUACAUUAAUUUAAUAUUAUUUGAUAAUUUAAUUACAAACCAAAUAACUUACUGUAUUAGAAAACUAUCGAACCACAAACAUGAUUGCUAAUAUUAGUUUUAAUUACUAUUUUGAUAAUUUAAUCAUGAUUAAACUAAAUAGUAUAAGAAGGAUAGUCAAAUCAGAAACAUAAUUGGUUUACUGUUUGAACUGAAUUUCAUGGAAGCAAAAAGAGAAAAAUGGAGGAAAAAAGAUAGAAGAUGAGCUCUCGAGUUCACCACAAUGCAUGGAGAUCAAGUCCUGAUCUGUCUUUAAUCUUGCAUCUCUCACCAAACUCCUCUUCAUUAGAUAGUCAAUGUCUGCAUAUUCCCUGCAAGCAACAAACUAAUCUAUACGUUGAUUUCUAUUUACAUUAAUAUUUUUCUUUUCUAGUAGAGACUUAAAAAGUGUAUUUUUAUUUUUAUUUCUGUGGAAAUGGACUUAAAAAGUUUAUAGAAUUCCUGUCAAGUCUUUUUACACAAUUGCUUUGAAUUUAAGUUUAAGGACUGCACUAAUACUUUACCAUCACAUCUCUCCCAUCUACUCUGCCCAUAACCACUGCCUGUUUACAAAUGAUGCAUAUAUAAAGAGAGUAACUUGCCACAUUUCUCACCAUCCAACACAAACAUUACACUCUCUUCUCUCUAGCUAUAAAAAAUAUACCUUUUCAGUUUCCACUCAUUGAUCUAAAGCCUUACUCUUGCAAUCAAUACAAUUAAGUAUUAUUCAAAGUCCCAACCAUGUCACCAACAAACACUUUUGCAAUUUUGGUCUUCUUCUGCUGUGCCAUUUCCUUUACCUUCGCUUCUGACCCUGACACACUUCAAGACCUUUGUGUGGCACUUCCCUCUUCAGGUAAUAUACUCCCUCUAUUCUAGAUCAUAAAAUGAUUUAGAGAGAAAAAUAUAUAUUUCAAAUGUCAUUUUACAAAAUCAAUGUUGCAUAAUUGUAUUUAAUACCUUCUUCUAAGACUACCCUUAAUCAAUACUUAAUAGGAGUAGUGUAUAGGAAGAGUAAAUGAGUCAUUAAUUAGAGAGAUAAAUAGUAUAUAUUAGAAAGUUAUUAAUGUUUUCUUUAAAAUUCAACAAAUUAAUUACAUUCCUUGAUACUUGUACCAAAAUCUUAAACUCACAUAAUCUGGAAUGGAGGAAUUACAUAACAAAUGAAUGUACCAAAUUGUGUUUAGGAAAAGAGUACAAUGAUGUGUAAUUAAUUAUGUGCAGGUGUGAAGGUGAAUGGAUUUGCUUGCAAGGCUGAGUCAAAUGUAACAGAAGCUGAUUUCUUCUUUGCUGGUUUAGCCAAGCCUGGAGCUACCAACAACACAUUGGGAUCUGUAGUUACUGCAGCCAAUGUGGAUAAAAUUCCAGGACUCAACACAUUGGGAGUGUCAUUCUCAAGAAUAGACUACAAAGCUGGGGGACUUAACCCACCUCACACACACCCUCGAGCCACUGAGAUUGUGUUUGUGUUGGAUGGACAACUAGAUGUUGGAUUCAUCACCACAGCCAACAAACUCAUCUCAAAGUCCAUUAAUAAGGGUGAAAUCUUUGUGUUCCCAAAAGGUUUGGUGCACUAUCAGAAGAACAAUGGGGAUAAGCCUGCUUCUGUGCUUUCUGCCUUCAACAGCCAACUCCCUGGCACAGUGUCUAUAGCUGCAACUCUUUUCACUUCAACACCAACUGUGCCUCAUAAUGUUCUUUCUCAGGCCUUCCAGAUUGAUGCUAAACUGGUUGAUGACAUCAAGGCCAAGCUUGCUCCUAAGAAGACUUAAUUUAUGUUGAGCUUAUGAUAUUCCAGAGAGGAAGAUUAUGAUAAUAGUUUCAUAAUUAAGACUACUUUCCCUAUAUUUUUCCUAUAAUUCUUGAAGGGUUAUGAUUCAUUGUAUCACUUACCGUGUUGCAUUUUGCUCAUUGAUAUUACGUCGAGAAUAAUGAUGUAAUUGUAUCGUGGAUUAUGGUACAUGUUAAGAGUAAUAUAAAUUCUAUGAAGUAGAAGCUGUCACCUUUUAUCUGGGUAUUUUCAUUUCUUUGGUUUUGUGGUCAUAGAUGUUGUAAACACAGCAUAAAGGUUGGAUCUUUACCAUCUCACUUUCUCUUUCGGGUUGGUUAGUGGUUAAAUCAGUUUGGUAAGAUGUGGACAUCUUAAAAUUGGAGGCACUCAAAUUAUUAUUUUGAUAGAAAAUAAAUUUCAUUAUUCAAUUUCCUGUACAUUAAUAAAAAAAACUUUAAACACAUUUAUUUAGUCCUGUAAGAGUGGCAGAAGCUCAAUUUGAUUUCUAUAAAUAAUGUGAAAUCUGAUUUUAUUCGUACAAACAUUAUUAGUUUAAUUUUGAUCGAUUUUCAUCAUGAUAUGUCUCUUAUGGUUGAACAUUGACUUCUUAAUCCCUUAAUCUCUUAUGCACAAGCUAACUUAACUUAUUAAGAUCCACUUAUAGAUUAAAAAAGAGAAUCAUGAGAACUGAAACUCAUGGAGUUUAAUAAUUUUCAAUCACACAAAGUGUUACAGAGAAUAUCCUUAACAUUUUCGUUUGGAAUUAUAAACGUACACUAAUUAUAUUUUGCAAGCAUAGGAUCAAUGGAUUGAAUUUUCGGUAAUACAAUAUCUUAUCAUAAUCUAAAACAUAAUUUAUAUAUUUAAAAUAUUUAUAUAUUAUAAAUUUAAUUAUAAUAUAAUAUAUCAAAAAAAAUAUUUACUAUAAAUUUUAAUUAUAUAAAAAUAUAUUUAUCAUGUGCAUCACACAUACUAGAAUAUUUAUACUUAUAUUAUAAGUAUGAAUUUUCAUCCAUGAAAGAAAAUAUUUUAAAUAAUUAUUUUUGAAUGAGAGCAAUUUUAGGAUUUUUUUCUUGGAUGAGAGUUUUUAAGAGUUAUUUUCAUUUUCUUUAAACAAUUGUUUUAUUUAUUAUUAUUAUUUUCAUUUCAAAUAUAUUUCUUAAUUUUAAUCUGAUUUAUUAUCUCAAACAAAAAAAAUGAAUCAAUUUAAACUAUUAGCCAUGUAUAUUUUUUUUUGGAUAAUUAUCAUUGUAUCUUUAUCGAUACAAAUGAUUUUUUAAUCAUUUAUCAUUUCUAACACUACUAGAAAAAUUGUGUUUUACGACACGGGCACUACGACGGUUAUUGGGGGAACCGCCUUAAAAAGAUGUGUGGUGGCUUUUUUGUAAUUAUUUGAACAAUAAUAGGAUUUUACGACAUUAAAUCUAAGAUGGUUAAUUAAAACUGCCUUAGAAUGUACUUUUUCAAUUAAUUUUACGACGGGUUUAAUAAAAAAACCGUCUUAAUUUGUUUGGGUUAAAAUAAAUCCUUUCGCGCUUCCUCACCUCUUUCCCCUUUCGCACUAAACCUCACCUCUUUCCCCUUUCGUGCUAAACUCUCUCUAACCUUAGUCUCGCUUGUAACCCUUUUGAACCUCUUGCCCUUUCGGGCUCAAACCUUGCUUGUAGCUUCUAACCUGUCAGCACUUGUUGCUUACCUCUUGCCCUUUCACGUUGAAACCUUGCCUCUAGCUUCUUUUUCAACCUCAGCACCUCUAGGUUUUUCUUCAAACCUAGUCGCGCCCACGCAGCACCUUCGUUCCUUGCCUCUAGCUUGAUUCUGUUCGACAACCUCUUCGUUCCUUCCCGACAAGGCUUUCGCAGUACCCCUAAAACUUCUGAAUCAAGGACUGCCAGCAGGGCUUUCGAUCCAACGUCGGCAACAAAGACAUUGGUCUGACUUCGAAGAAAGCAGGUUAGUCAGUUAAUUACUUACUUCGAUGAUGUGAUUUCCCUUUUUCUUGUUUGAGAAGACAUUGGUGGAUGGCAUUCUUUUGAACAAAUAAAAAAAAUCUAACGGUUUAGAAGUUGUCUUGCACCGGGAGGAGACUUAGGCUAGUGAUCCACGCUAGCUUAUGUCCUAUAAGGUAUACACUAUACAUACCUUCUUUCCGUCGCAAAGUGACUGACAUAACCUUUUAAAGGUUCAAAGAACCUCCCUCGCCACCGCCGUGGAACCCUAGCCUCAGCUCCCUCGCCGCCUUUCGCCGGAGUAUCACCCCAACGCCAUCUUCGCUGGUGAGUUGUUCUUUCUCGUUACCACUUGCCCCUAAAUGUUCUUCUUACUCAGAAAUUAGGGAACACUUUGCACACAAGCCUCACUUCACUUUCAAAAUCAUCCUCUGUCUUGUUCGAUUUCUCCCCAAACCUAAUUUCUCAUUCAAUGCCAUGGUUUUGAAAAUUUCAAUACGAAAGUGAUUUUUUUUCUCGGUUGUUGUAUUUCUACUGUUAAUUGCUUUUAGUUCCUAUUUUGUUUUUCGCUGCUCAAUGACUCUAACACUAUGCAGAGAAAUCAUCCACCAAAAGGCCUAACGCUAUGAAGACGCCACAAUCUGCCUCUAAAUUGAAAAGGUAAUACAAAUUGUUUUGUUUGUUCUAAUUGGAGUUAGUGCGUGUUUUGUUUGCUUAUUUUGAAGAAAUAAUAGCUUUUUGAGUGAAUGUUUUAAGAACAAGCAAUUAUUCUUAGAAAUAAUCUCUUACGAUACUGCACUUAUUAGGUUGAUAAUUAAUAGGGUCACCUUGUGAAAGCUCUCUUAUUUGUAUAUAGAAGUAUACCAAUGGGGUUAUGCUAUUAAACUCCUUCACUACUCUAGUAAACUUUUGAACAUAUCCCUCAUCAAUUGAAGUAGCCAAAUCCAUUGUGAUGUCAUGGUCCCAGAAAAUUUCCAUUAGCAUUGUACAGGAGGGAAAAUAUCAAUAUGUUUGGACUACAUUAAAUCUUGUCUAUUUUUGCUUUUGGCUAUAUUGAUAUAAUACGUAUCGGGGUUAGUUAGAAAAGUAGUUGUUGUGAGUUUAGGAUUAGGGAUCUAAUUGAGUCCUUCCUAGGAAUUGUUCUGUGGUCCAAUCCUAGGUACUAGAUAAACAAAAAAGAAAUUAUAUUGUUUUUAGCAGAUUGAAAACUGAGGUCUAAUUGAUUUUUUAAGAAAGACAAAGUCCAUUUAUAUAUAUAACGUAUAGUCUGGUCCUUGCUCAUUAUUUGUUAAGUUUACCUGGUGAAGCUCAGGUUACCAAACUGAGUGUUAGAAGUCUUCAUAUUUGUCAUAGGUGAUUCUGUUUGUUCUUAUGAAUAAAUGCUUGAGCUAAAAACCUUAAUAAUUGUGUACUUUGAAUUUUCACUUCUAUUUCCCCUUUAAGUUUUAGUGGCUUAUAGCUCAUUUAAUGGUUGUGAAUUUCAUUCAGUCUUUCCCCUUGGUGUGAGAUUUAUAUUGUGUGAAACCAUAUAUGUUACUUUUAUUGCCUGCUAUGCUGAUAUUUUUUCUGGUCUUGAAAACUAAAUUAUUGAGAAUAAGGAGAAGACCUUAUAACCUCAUAUAUGUAAAGAAAAAUGCAUCUUUGCAACUGGAUAAAAAGAAUAAGAAAAUUUUUAAUUUUAUAAUAAGGGUGAAAAUUUUAUGGAUGAAAUAUAUACGAAACAUUGUAUAUGUGUGAUUUGCUUUCAUUUGAUCUAUACAGUUGCAUAGAAAUAACAUUAUUUUUAAAUGCAAUAUUGCAAAUGUGGAAUAUGUUAUGAACCUUAUAAAAUUUAGGUUUUGGUUUUUCGAUAAUAUCAAGUUCAAAGGUGCUCUUGGUCACUUGUUACAAAAGUAAUUGAAAUGCAUUUAAAACCUUCAGAGAGUUAAUCAUAUUUGGAUUCAAUAUGUCAAUUCUAUGUAAAGGGAAUUCAGAGUGGAACAAUUCUGUUGCAUGCAUUGGUGAGACAACUGCUACAAUGGCAAGAAGUUUAGGUUUGACAAAUGUGUACUUAAGAAUGACUCUAUUUUUAAUAAUUUAUCUUUAAUCUAAAUUCAUUCCUUAAAAAAAAAAUCAAAAUGCUAUAAACUUUAUUCCAUUUUGAAGUAACUAAUAUAAAACUUGAGAUUCUUCACGAAUCAGAAGUGAUUCUCAAACUUUCCAAAACCUGCACAUAAAUCUUUCCGUUCAUUAUUUACAUGUAUACUAUAAUGAAGGCAUUUGAACCUAUGCAUGCAAAGAUCCUGACUUAAAGCCUCCAACAUCAUCUCAUAAUGCAUCAACUACACCAUUUUCCACAUCUGCUGGUGAUGGGGUGCCAGAGAUAGCCACAGUUCAAGCAAUGGACCAGCAUAACUUUCAAUACCAGAUGAAUCAAAGGAAAAACAUCUCCCAAAACCCAAUUCAAGAUCACUUUCACCUUAUACCACGUAAGCUGCUUCUGACUUGCCUUUAACAUUUUAAUUUUUCUUUUCCAAAGACUCUUCAUUCCUUAAUGUAAUGCAUGUCGAGUAAUUAAACUUCAGAAAAGAGAUAUAAGGGGGCGGGGGUAUCAGCUAAUGACUCAUUGCCCUGUAUAAUUGUGAGUUUUAUUUUGGUUGGAAAUUCAAGAGAGUAAAGAAGUCAUACAUUGGUAAUGAAUAGACUUAAGGUCAGAAGGUGGAUAAACCAAACACAUCAAGGCUUUUGGGUCAAAAUGUUAUGUCAAGUUCACUUUCACUAGUAUGGUUUCUGACCCAACAUUUUUGCUAGGCUAGCAGUCUUUUGUUCAACUUGUAUGAAUUGAUUGCGUUUCAUGGGCAUAUUUUUUGACCCAACAUUCCUUUAGGACAACAUUAUGAUUUCUUUAGUUGUUGCAGAUUUUUGUGGACAUGGAUUAAAAUUGUGGCUACUGCAUCGAAUUUGGUCAGAAGUGGUUGACAGCAACAUUGAUCUGCUGCUGUUAUCCGCAGUUCAAUGUUCUAUGUCAUCAAUGUGCCUAAUCACACCUACCAAGUUCCCAAUUGGAAAGUUUCCAUUAUUCAAGUAUGUAUUUAGUUAAAUAUCAACAAUUGUUCAAUUCAAUAUACAGCUUCCUUACACAUCUGCGUGAGCAUGAAGUUUUUUUUAUUUCCCUAGUUUGCAACUGAACCUGCCAUUAUUAUUCUUUGAAUUGAUGACAUGAUCAAGCUUAUCAAGGAUGAAAGUCAAAAUGAGGAUUAAAGUAUAACUGAAUCUAGGAGGCAUUUAUCCCCAGUGCUUACAGAAGCUUGUUGUAUCACAGGAUCCUUGUUGCGGCACUAUUACAUAGUCAUUACGACGGUCUUAAGAAAGGAUUAUAUGUUCAAUGAUUUGAAUUGUUUUUGAUUUAAUUUAGUUAAUAGCUAGCAAAAAUUGUUACAUAUACAUACAUGUAUUGUAAUUAAUGGUCCAAUAUUUUCACACUUGUCAUAUGUACAUAAAUGAUUUUAUAAAUAUUCAAAAUCAUGAUGAUGCUUUUGGUUGGCAUAAUGUGCGUCUUAUUUAAUUUAUAGGUACCAGAGACCAACGUAAAAAAAAUGCAUCAAAAAAAAAAUUAGACAUACUAAGACGGUUCCAAUAACCAUCGUAAAAUGAAAACACAUACAAAGACGGUUUCCGAAAAAACAUCUUAGUAUGUCAAAGUCUUGACAUGCUAUCUACGACAUUUCCUUACAACUGUCAUAAAAUAAUGUAUAUACAAAAACGGUUGAACGAAAACUGUCUUAGUAUGUAAAUUUUGGCUGUUAGAAUCUAAGACGGUUCUAGGAUAAUCGUCGUAAACAACAUGCAUCUACUAAGACGAUCUGAAUGAACCGUCUUAGUAUCCCAACAUGCAUCUACUACAACAUGCAUCAUUGAACAUAUAUCUUAUGAGUGAAACAAGUUACAUAUGGAUACGAUACUCGAUUCUUACUGUUUUAUAUUACUUGUGCAACUCAGUACACUUGCUGAUUAACAUCGUAGAAUAUUAGCAAACAAGUUUUUGCUGUGAACAAUGCCCUCAGAGCUAUUCUUUUCUAAGCCAUGUAGCGCCUCUAGGAUUUGCACAAUUUGCUCUUUCAUCUAUUUGACAUUGUUUCUCAACUCCUCGUGGCGCUCUUCUAUCUCAUCCAUAAUCUUUUUCUUGGGACCACGUUCUAUAGGGGUGUCGAGGAUACACUUUCUUUCUUGAUUUUAGCGUUUCUGUGUAGAAAAAACCAUAAGCAAAAGAAAUAAGAAACAAGAAGACUGAAAAAACCUAGUGUUCAAUUUUGAAGGAGAUUCCCCACAUUUUGGCACUAGAGGUAUGUUCCCUCUUAGGCCGCCAAGUGGUUGACACUCAUUCCAAGGGAGUAUUUCUUCCUCAAUAGAAGAGGUCUCAUAUGUUAGCAAUAUAAGGUGUGCCCCACAUUUCCAAUCAAGGACUAAACAUCUCAAGUUAAAAAUGUGGUUAACAAUUACCCAAGGGGAAAUUCUCUCCUCGAUGAAUAAUGUUUAGAACAAAAGUGAAAAAAUCCAAGCUCAUUUUGUUAAUCGAAAUAUUGAAAUACAAUCUCUUUUUGAAAUGGAGUACACGAAAUUGCAUCUCAUUCUACAUGAAGCUUCUACUUAGAUUUUGGAAAUACUUUAAUAACUGAAAACCCCCCAAAGGAAGCUUUAUCUUGGAUUUGAGUUGAUCUCCUCAUUGACCACUUAGACCUAUGCUACUAAGUUUGUGACAUGAUGCUAAACACAAUGAGUCAUAUCUUCAAAAGUUUUCAUCCACCCAUUCUUCUUUUCAAAGUGAUGCUUGGAACCAAGUGUAACCCUUGGAUGUCAGAGCUCAACUUGUCUUGCUCACAUGCCAACUCAACAAUUGUUUUUUAAAGGUGUUUCCCUUUUUGAUUUGAUUAUGGGAUGAAGUUAAGAUAUUCUUUAACUAAUCCCCAUCCUUUCUCUGCAUCAAGGCCUCUCUCAACUAACUCUUUGCUUAGGCACUCCAAUCUUUGCUCUUGAAUACAUUUUUUUAUCUCCAGGUCUUCUUUUUCUUUAUAAAUUUUGGCCAUCUCUCUUUCCAUUGCUUCAACUUUAUCUUGCAAUUCCAUCAUAAUAGAAAUAGCAAUCUUCCUUACCUUCUAGGCAUGGUUGAGCUUUCAUGGUCGUCAACACACUCAUCUUUUAAGUGCCCUAUCUCUAUCUUUCUUUUGGCACUAUUGCUUGAGAAUUUCUAUUUUUAUCUUCACACUUUCUUCUUUUUCCUUCAUAACCUCAUCUAAGCCCACAAGAUUUCCAAUCGAGAAUUCAAAGAAGCAAAAUUUUGACCAGAUUCUCGAGAUAGACUCUCUUCAUGUGAGAUUUCUUUGCAAAUAAAGACUACUAUGGCUUUCCUUUAUUCUUUAUACUCUUGUGAGGUAGUCACACGAGGUUUUACAAGCUCUUUUUCCCCUUUCUUUCUAACAUUUCCCCAAGCCAUUCUGACUUUUACUUGUUGCCCAUGACUAUCACCUGAAGCAUACUGGAAAAUCAAACCUCUUAAUUCUUCAACAUUUGGCAUAACUUGAGUCCAUUUGAGUUGCCCAAGAGCUACUAUCGAGGUGUAGGCUAUGCAUCCUUUUGGCCCUAUUAACGACACAUUUGGAAAAUAGCCACAACUAAAAAUCCUAUCAUGGGAAUGAUACCAAAGUCAUACCCAUUGAAAAUGUUCCACCUCCAAUUUUGAUAAAUCUUUGUUCCACUCCAUAGCUUCUUGUUUCUUCAAAAGGAUGUGAUGAAAACUUCUCAAAGGAUUCAGAAAGUAACCCAUAUGAUUGGAUGCAUAUAAAUGAGUCACCAACCAAACAAACAACAAGUAAUCACAACAUCGUAGCAUCUCUCUCUUCUUCUGGUGGCAUAUCUCCAUGGAAAGGAAUGUAUUUGCCAAGAUAGCCAAAAUUGGAUUUUCUCCUCGAGUUUCAUAAGCAAAGAAUACAUCCAUGGUUGUGUGAUCGAUCAUGCCUAUAGUGAAUGGGAAAAUAAUCAAUCCAUAAAGAAGUAAUGCUAGAGUUGUAUUAAAAAAUUCCCAAUUCUUCUUUUCGGCUAAAGUCUCCAAAUAAUCUUCUAGGAAAUUUCUAUUCCACCCUUGGAUUGUUUCUCUACUUUCGAAAUCAGUUUGACCCAUUGGUAGGCCAAUCAACUCGACUACUUUCCUCUUGGCUACAUAACUCCCUUAAUAGAGAUACACCCUGGCCUUUUUGUUAGUUGGCAACUUCAACAUGAUUUUGUACUCCUCUAUUGUUGGUACAAGGUCAAAAGCAAGUAGCUCAAAACAUCUCAAGUUCGAAUUCCAAAAUUGAGCUAAAGUGCUUAGUAUCGAGGCUUUAAUGGGGAUCGACAAUAAAUCCAUAAUUUGACAAUAUUUCUUCUCAAAACUCAUGCAUGCUUCCUUGGUCAUCUUUCCAUGAAUAUAAUUUAUUCUUUAAAAAUCAUUUUUUAGCCCAUUAAUUCUUAUGUUCUUUCCAGGCCUCGGUGUAUUGCUAGCAGGAUUUUGAAUCUCCUCCAUGUUAAACACUACUAAACUUGUGUAUUCUAAAAUCAGAAAGUAAGAUGAAAGAUAUACAACACAUGGAUGUAACCUACAUGUACAUGGUCCUAAUAUGCAUGCAUGAUUUUCACUUGAAUGAAAUGAUGAGUUCUAUUUAUUUAUAAAUAAGCAUACGCAUAAAUCAUAAGGUGCAACAUGAUGCAUGUGAUAAUAAAUUUUUUUUAGGUAUGUUUGAAAUAAAGAAAAUAUAUGCCUAGCUAAUUAUGAAUGCAUGAGGUGCAUAGGAAUGAAAGGAUAAAGAAAAGUACAUCCCUUUCUGACCUAUCAAGGUAAAAACCUAGGGUAAGGUAUUCAUUAAGGUCAUGGCUUUGAAUUUUGGUGGUAACUAGUUCAAUUGUCAGUGAACAAUUUUCAGGUGGAGCUAUAUUCUUAAAGAUUUAAGAGGUCCCUAGAUUGCUUUUAUUAGAUAGACAAAGACCCAACCCAUGAUUCAAUCACAAGAAGGAAUAAUAUCCUUUCAAUAUGAUUGUCUCAUGAUAUUGGUAACAAUCUAAGCGGUAACCCAACAACUGUCAAGUGGACAUAGGCUUGGGUAUAAAGCCCCAAAAGUGUGUGAAGUAAGUGAUUGUGAAAUGUGUAAGGGAACAUACAAACAUUUGAUCCUAACAACUAUCCAAAUCUGUACAAAAAAGAAACAAACAAAUGUAUACAAAGUAAUAAUCUUGUAUCCUAAAGUUGAGACAAAGCUAAAAAAAAUAGAAUAUCUAAAAAUAGAGCACAAUACACAAGAAAAAGAAAAUAGGGGUAAAACAAUAUAUUUUUAAAAAUAUAAUUUUGUGCAAUCAAUCAUAUAAGGCUUGACUCUCUUAAUGUCCCUAGUGGAGUCGUCAUAUGUUGCAACUGUGGUAACGACAUAGAUGAUGUAAAAUAAAAAUAAAAAUGGAUUUGCCACCAACAUUUUAUUUGGAAAGAAAAACAUUGGAAAAUCCUUUUCAAAAUGAUCUUUGAAAUCAAAGAUAAGUUCGGGAGUCGAUUACGUGUAGGGAAGAUAUUAGCACCCUACAAAAGAAAAUGAUACAUUUAAUUAUUUACACAAGAUUAUAUAAUUUUAUACUCAUUUGUUUCACCCCAAAAGGAGAACAUGUUUACUUGUCAAAUGAACAUAACUCUAUGCCAAAAGUUUUAGAUAGCAAACGAUUAUUCUAAAAACAUUCAUGAUUUAAGCAAAAUUAAAAGGUAGAAAUGUCACUCAAUUAAUGUCGUACACAAUUGCAUAAGUUCAAUUAUUUUUCUCACACAAAUAAAAAUUUUAAGAUUAUCUUAUUAAAAGACCGAAAUCAAAUUUUAGUAUCUAAAUCAAUUUUUAUGCACAAGGGUUUAUGAUAGUAAAUGACUAUUCUAUAAAUGCUAAUGAUAAGUAAUAUCAAAGGUAGGACUGCUACUCAAUUGAUAAUUGCAAAUCAUUGCACAAAUUGAAAUAAAUAUUUUAUUUGAAACCAAAAGAGAAAGAAAGAAAAACAAAAACUUUAUUGUACAAAUAACCAAAAUAGAAGACAAAACCAGUUAGACAAGAAUCCAUUUUGUGCCUAUACUCUUGUCUUUUAAACACAAGGAAAUCAAAAGCGAAUGAAACAAAUUAUAUUAUAAGCCCUCUUUACUAUUUUAGAAACAAACUAAAAAUUGCACAUGCAUAGACCAAGUGUUGUGUAUAAGAAACAAAAUUAAUGCAUUAAAAAUGGAAUAAUGCUUAUAACAUUGCAUGUCUAUUGUUUACAUGAGAAUAAAGGAAAAAGAGAAAAAGAAAAAAAAAAAGCAUACAUAAAACCACUAUCACGCACAUCGAGGAAAACACACCUCUUAGAUAUGAUGAUCAACGUCUGAACGUGAGAGAUGCAAUAACGAUGUGAAGAUGAUACAUUUACGGUAGUCUAUU